UGCCAACUUCAACAAUCUAUCAUACAGAAAUCAAGGAGCCGAAAAUCAGCCCUAUCCACAGCAGCAAAGGAGUUUUCAAAACAAGUUUCAAGGUGGAAACUAUGGAGGAGGAAACUUCAAACAAAGACCAGCAUUCAAUCCUCAACAAGCACAGAUCAGCUCAUUAGAAGCAACCAUUUCCCAGCUAAGUAAUCAGGUAAAAUCGCUUGAACAAACUAUGAUGCAGACUACUCAAGGCAAUGAGAAGUCAUUCAGGGAAAUGGGGGUGAAGAUCGAUUGUAUCUACACUGAUUUGAAUGGGAAGUUCG
rnacentral:lncRNA from 1 species